rnacentral:rRNA from 1 species
CCUACGGGAGGCAGCAGUGAGGAAUAUUGGUCAAUGGACGCAAGUCUGAACCAGCCAUGCCGCGUGCAGGAAGACGGCUCUAUGAGUUGUAAACUGCUUUUGUACGAGGGUAAACUCAGAUACGCGUAUCUGUCUGAAAGUAUCGUACGAAUAAGGAUCGGCUAACUCCGUGCCAGCAGCCGCGGUAAUACGGAGGAUUCAAGCGUUAUCCGGAUUUAUUGGGUUUAAAGGGUGCGUAGGCGGUCGGAUAAGUUAGAGGUGAAAUCCCGAGGCUCAACUUCGGAAUUGCCUCUGAUACUGUUUGGCUAGAGAGUAGUUGCGGUAGGCGGAAUGUAUGGUGUAGCGGUGAAAUGCUUAGAGAUCAUACAGAACACCGAUUGCGAAGGCAGCUUACCAAGCUACGUCUGACGUUGAGGCACGAAAGCGUGGGGAGCAAACAGGAUUAGAUACCCUUGUAGUC